UACGGAGGGGGCUAGCGUUGUUCGGAAUUACUGGGCGUAAAGCGCGCGUAGGCGGACCUGCAAGUCGGGGGUGAAAGCCCGAGGCUCAACCUCGGAACUGCCUUCGAUACUGCGGGUCUCGAGUCCGGGAGAGGUGAGUGGAAUUCCUAGUGUAGAGGUGAAAUUCGUAGAUAUUAGGAAGAACACCAGUGGCGAAGGCGGCUCACUGGCCCGGUACUGACGCUGAGGCGCGAAAGCUAGGGGAGCAAACAGG
rnacentral:rRNA from 1 species